AAGAGAUCUUACCAAAUACUGUUCAUUUGUCUUCUUUUAUAGACAAGUAGUUGGUAACCGUCUGUAAUGGUUAGACUGUGGAUCUCGCUUGUUCCGGUAUUAUGUGAUCGUGGGAUAGGUGGUUAUAUCCAUCACUAAUCAUGUUUUGGCCAUUAUGCACUUUCUGCGCUGACAAUUUCUGGUAAGUCGAUUAUAUAUCGGUAAUCAAAAUAUAUCAAUAGUUGUGGAAGU
rnacentral:lncRNA from 1 species